UGGAAACUCAGGAUGAGGUAACCUGUGCUAAUACCUCUGCUAUCUUCAAGAAUGCUUGGUGGCAGUAUCGGAAUUACCUGAAGAAAACGUACUUCACCGGCAAAGAAACUCAUCAAAUUCCCUUACGUUUUCCUGAGACACAUUUACUGGACGAUGACUGGGAACGCCUUGUUCUGUACUGGUCCCGAACCAAGAAUGUGAAUGCUGACAGAAUAUUGGGGAAGAGUGCCUUAUUAAGCAAUGGUAAAGGAAGUAAUGCAGAUAAGGUUCAGGAUAGUGACACAUCCU
rnacentral:rRNA from 1 species